GUUUUUCGUUCUCUUGUUCUCACUCAGAAGUCUUAGCAUGUCUCCGAUGUGAAGAGUACAAUGAGGAACAUUAGAUGGCACAUGAAGGUAGCAGUAAGGCCUGCCUUUUCUCCCUGAAAGAAUAUAGUGAUAAAGGAUGGUCUGGUGGUGCAGCAGUGCUGACUUACUGGUUAGUGGGUCAUGACGUGGCGCCACAAGCAAUGGAUGUGAAGCGAGCCAAUGCGAAAUUGGUAUACCGCUUGUUGGUGUCCUAGCGGCUGUGACCUGGAAGUAACAGAAUGAUUGCCGCCUUUCCUCUCUGAAAGAAUGCUGUGCAGUGUGCACAUAACAACGAUAAAGGAUGGUCUGGUGGUGCAGCAGUGCUGACUUACUGGUUAGUGGGUCAUGACGUGGCGCCACAAGCAAUGCUGCCAAUGAGAAAUUGGUAUAUUGGUGUCCUAGCAGAUGUAACCUGGAAGUAGCAGAAUGACUGCCGCCUUUCCUCCCUGAAAGAAUGCUGUGCACAGAACGAGUCUGGCAGUGUGGGGUUGACAUGGAGCCACAGGUCAUUGUGGGACAGGUGCUGAAGAUUGGACUGUUUCAGUUGAAGAUGAAAGGUGGCAGUAAUGGGUUGUGCCUUAGAAGAAAGAAAGCAGAUUGUUCAGUUGCCGGUCCGAGACUAGGGUGCCGUCUGAGUAUACAGCUGCCACUAUGAUGCCGUUAAUCACAGCGAGCUCAGUUCAAGUUUGAACCUGGUUAUCACACAAACCCUUCACUCGGUGUGACCUAGGUGAAAUUAGCUCAAUGUACUUGCCCUGUUUGAUUUGAAUAAAUGUAUUGCUUUCAAAAUAAUUCCAAUAAACUCAAGCUGAUCUCAGCUUUUUUGUUUUUUUAA